rfam:Oryza sativa Japonica Group DNA, chromosome 9, cultivar: Nipponbare, complete sequence.
UUUAAGGGUAACCAUGAGUUUCCAUGCUCAACUUUGGACAUUCGUCUUAUUUAAAUUUUUUUAUAAUUAGUAUUUUUAUUGUUGUAAGAUGAUAAAACAUGAAUAGUACUUUAUGCAUGACUUACAUUAUUAUUAUUUUUUUCAAAAUUUUUUUAAAUAAGACGGAUGAUCAAAGUUGGACACGAAAAAUCAUGACUGCACUUAAA